UACGUAGGGUCCGAGCGUUGUCCGGAGUUACUGGGCGUAAAGCGCGCGCAGGCGGUCCGUGAGGUGUCACGUGAAAGCCCCGAGCUUAACUCGGGAGGGUCGUGGCAAACCGGCGGACUUGAGGCCGGUAGAGGUGGGUGGAACGUCCUGGUGGAGUGGUGAAAUGCGUAGAGAUCAGGAAGAACACCCGUGGCGAAGGCGGCCCACUGGGCCGGAACUGACGCUGAGGCGCGAAGGCGUGGGAGCGAACGGG
rnacentral:rRNA from 1 species